UAUUAAGAAGAACAAUAAUAUAUUCUCUAGUAGGAUCUUAAAUCCUAUGCACUGAUCUGCCACCUUAAU
rnacentral:tRNA from 1 species